GGUGCCAUAGCUCAGUUGGUAAGCCUUAGAAAGCGAGUUUACGAGCUUUUUGAGGCUGAAAGGAGCAACGGACUGAAAAUCCGUGUGUCCCUAGUUCGAUUCUUGGUGGCACCA
rnacentral:tRNA from 1 species